rnacentral:rRNA from 1 species
ACUGCCUGAUGGAGGGGGAUAACUACUGGAAACGGUAGCUAAUACCGCAUAACGUCGCAAGACCAAAGAGGGGGACCUUCGGGCCUCUUGCCAUCGGAUGUGCCCAGAUGGGAUUAGCUAGUAGGUGGGGUAACGGCUCACCUAGGCGACGAUCCCUAGCUGGUCUGAGAGGAUGACCAGCCACACUGGAACUGAGACACGGUCCAGACUCCUACGGGAGGCAGCAGUGGGGAAUAUUGCACAAUGGGCGCAAGC